UACGAAGGGGGCUAGCGUUGCUCGGAAUCACUGGGCGUAAAGCGCACGUGGGCGGAUCGUUAAGUCAGGGGUGAAAUCCUGGAGCUCAACUCCGGAACUGCCUUUGAUACUGGCGACCUUGAGUUCGGGAGAGGUGAGUGGAACUGCGAGUGUAGAGGUGAAAUUCGUAGAUAUUCGCAAGAACACCAGUGGCGAAGGCGGCUCACUGGCCCGAUACUGACGCUGAGGCACGAAAGCGUGGGGAGCAAACAGG
rnacentral:rRNA from 1 species